UUAGUAUUAAUCUGAAAAUGUCAUUUCAAUGCAUGAUCUGUCUGCCAUAGCCAUUAAAACCACAACUCAAAGCACCCGGCUUUUAACUUUUCAGCAAGAUAAUGUGGCCUUCAUCCUGUAGAUUACACGUAGGAAACAAACUCUCUUCACCUGGCGUGAUCAGAUGUCCCCUCUAGAAAGGACCCGUGGCUGCAGCACAGAAGAGGUUCGCGUUCAGGACAAGGGAGACAGCGGGACCACAUGGCCUCAAUGCCAACGUGAAGGCUCCAAAGAGCACUCCGAUGUGGGCCCAAGAGUUCACGCAGGCCACAGGCCACAGGCCACAGGGACUCUGCGCUUGAGACACCACACUCCCACACGGACCUACAGAGUCAUACUAUCUGGAGACGGUGCCCACGACAUCAAUUCCGAGGAGGUAUCACAUGGAGAGAUGCACGGCGACAAGGUGUGAAGGCUUAGCUACCGUAAAAGGCCCCCCCUUCGACCACUGCCACACCACCAGUCCCGCCACAGCAACCCUGGUACCAGGUCCUCGUGUGGCCACGCUCCACGCGCAGCUCCCACGGAAUGCAAGGCUAUGCUCCAAAACAGAAACAAGACAUGCUGCUCUAGACUUGGGGCUCUCAGACUUUUCAGUCUCAGGGCCCCCUUCCAUGCUGAUGAUUGAGGAUCCCUAAGAGGAUUUACUUAUUCGUGUAGGUUAUAUCAAUAUUUACUGGAUUGGGAAUUUAAACCGAGAUCAUUUUUAAAUUUUAGAUCAUUUUAAAAUAACAGUAAGCCCACUAAGCACAACUUUCCAAUGAAGCCUAAAACACUGGAAUUUCUAUGUCAGUAGACAUUUAGUGCACAUUUCAACAUACACUUAAUGUAACUUUUAACAUAUAUUUAAUAUACAUUGAUUUUCCCAAGUAUAUAAUCAAGGAAGACCAUAAUUUAUUCAUCUGGAACUUCAUCAAGGGCUCUUCACCACUUCGGAAAAUCAUGACACCAACAGCAAUACCGCGUGAGGCCCACGAGUCACCAGGACGGCACCCCGUCCUCCUGCGCCGUGGCUCGGAGCACACUCACAGCACUGUCACAGCAGAAGAUAGUCAUCUCACCUCAGUGCACAGUGUACUGGAGCCGCCCCUGAGCAUUUGUGUUCAAAUACUCACCUAAUAAAACCCACUGUGCUCGUUA